rnacentral:rRNA from 1 species
GACGAACGCUGGCGGCGUGCCUAAUACAUGCAAGUCGAGCGGACCGACCAGGAGCUUGCUCUUGUUCGGUUAGCGGCGGACGGGUGAGUAACACGUGGGUAACCUGCCCGUAAUACCGGGAUAACUCCGGGAAACCGGAGCUAAUACCGGAUAACACCGAACACCGCAUGGUCUUUGGUUGAAAGGCGGCUUCGGCUGCCACUUACGCGUGGUCCCGCGGCGCAUUAGGGAGUGGGGGAGGUAACGGCUCACCAAGGCGGGGAAGCGGAGCCGGCCGGAGGGGGGGCGAGGCCACACUGGGAGGGAGACCCGGCACAGACGCCCACGGGAGGCAGCAGGAGGGCAUCUUGCGGAAGGGACGAAGGUCUGACGGAGAGACGCCGCGGGAGCGAAGAAGGUCGUCGGAUCGGAAAGAUCGGUUGUUAGGGAAGAAGAAGCGUCGUUCGAACAGGGCGGCGGGGUGACGGUACCUAACGAGAAAGCCCCGGCUAACUACGUG